UGAGACUUCGGUGGAUUUUAAACUGACUGAGCGGCGGACGGGUGAGUAACGCGUGGAUAACCUGCCUCACACAGGGGGAUAACAGUUAGAAAUGACUGCUAAUACCGCAUAAGCGCACAGUACCGCAUGGUACAGUGUGAAAAACUCCGGUGGUGUGAGAUGGAUCCGCGUCUGAUUAGGUAGUUGGUGGGGUAACGGCCCACCAAGCCGACGAUCAGUAGCCGACCUGAGAGGGUGACCGGCCACAUUGGGACUGAGACACGGCCCAAACUCCUACGGGAGGCAGCAGUGGGGAAUAUUGCACAAUGGGCGAAAGCCUGAUGCAGCGACGCCGCGUGAGUGAAGAAGUAUCUCGGUAUGUAAAGCUCUAUCAGCAGGGAAGAAAAUGACGGUACCUGACUAAGAUGCCCCGGCUAACUACGUGCCAGCAGCCGCGGUAAUACGUAGGGGGCAAGCGUUAUCCGGAUUUACUGGGUGUAAAGGGAGCGCAGACGGCGAUGCAAGUCUGGAGUGAAAGCCCGGGGCUCAACCCCGGGACUGCUUUGGAAACUGUAUGGCUAGAGUGCUGGAGAGGCAAGCGGAAUUCCCAGUGUAGCGGUGAAAUGCGUAGAUAUUAGGAAGAACACCAGUGGCGAAGGCGGCUUGCUGGACAGUAACUGACGUUCAGGCUCGAAAGCGUGGGGAGCAAACAGGAUUAGAUACCCUGGUAGUC
rnacentral:rRNA from 1 species